UAAAUAAUCCUACCCUUUGUGAAUUUUGUUUGUUUGAAUAAUUUUUUUUUUUAAAAAAUUAUUGGAGUCUUUCCCUUUAGAGUUUGCUUUUGAGUUUGUAAAGAAUUCGAAAACAUCUAAAGGGGAUGGUCAAUAAUUUUUUUGAAAAAAGACAUUUUUUAAAAUUAAACUUUUGUAUUCAUUUGUCUAAAAAUUAUUUUUAUAAUAUAAAAACAACUUUUGACAAUGGAUCUCUUGGUUCUCGCAACGAUGAAGAACGCAGCAAAAUGCGAUAAGUAGUGUGAAUUGCAGAAUACGUGAAUCAUCGAAUCUUUGAACGCAUAUUGCACUUUUUUAGUUUACUAAAAAAGUAUGUCUGUUUGAGUAUCAGUAAAAUAUUCUCAUAAAAAUCAUUGUAUUUUUAUGGUUAUGAGUGUUUUACAACGAUACAAGUUGUUUCACUUUAAAUUUUUUUUUAAUAUUGAAAUUUUUCUAAUUUUAAUAAUUAAAAUUGGAUAAAAUUUUCCCGUCAAAAGGAAUAACCUAAACAAUUUUAAAUGAUUAAUUUUAGCAAAUUUUCGUAAAAAAGGAAAAUUUUUAUUAAAAUAACUUGAUCUCAAAUCAGAUAAGAGUACCCGCUGACUUAAGCAUAUCAAUAAGCGGAGGAAAAGAAACUAACAAGGAUUCCCUUAGUAACGGCGAGUGAAGCGGGAAGAGCUCAAAUUUGAAAUCUUCAAGGUUUUACCUUGACGAAUUGUAGUUUAAAGAAGUGUUUUCUGCUGAAGUUUUGGUAAAAGUUCUUUGGAAUAGGACAUCAUAGAGGGUGAGAAUCCCGUAUUUGACCAUUAUUUUCAGCUUUGUGAUACACUUUCAAAGAGUCGGAUUGUUUGGGAAUGCAGUCCAAAAUGGGUGGUAAAUUUCAUCUAAAGCUAAAUAUUGGCGAGAGACCGAUAGCGAACAAGUACCGUGAGGGAAAGAUGAAAAGAACUUUGAAAAGAGAGUUAAACAGUACGUGAAAUUGUCAAAAGGGAAGCGUUUGACACCAGUGUUGUUUUCUCGAAAAUCAAUUAAAAAUGGCUCGAUUUUGUAUUGCUGAGACCUUAAAAGCUCACUGUACAUUCUUCGUGUCUUUUUUAAUGCACUUUUCGUUUAACAAGUCAACAUCAGUUUCUUUUGUUGUAAAAGGGUCAUUGGAAGGUGGCUUUCUUUUCGGAGAAAGUGUUUAUAGCCUUUGGCCUCUGCAAUCGAGAGACUGAGGUCUGCAGCGUAGACUCUUCGGGUUAGAUACAUUUGUGCUAAGUUAUAGCUUUUUAUAGACAACUUGUUGACUAUAUUAGUCUUGUAGCUUACUCGCUUAUGCUAUUUUACCUACGCUUAGGAUG
rnacentral:misc_RNA from 1 species